rnacentral:rRNA from 1 species
GGGGAAUAUUGCGCAAUGGGCGAAAGCCUGACGCAGCAACGCCGCGUGAGGGAUGAAGUACGUCGAGAUGUAAACCUCUUUCAGCAGGGACGAAGCGAAAGUGACGGUACCUGCAGAAGAAGCGCCGGCUAACUACGUGCCAGCAGCCGCGGUAAUACGUAGGGCGCAAGCGUUGUCCGGAUUUAUUGGGCGUAAAGGGCUCGUAGGCGGUCUGUCACGUCGGAUGUGAAAACUCGGAGCUCAACUCCGGGCCUGCAUUCGAUACGGGCAGACUCGAGUUCGGUAGGGGAGACUGGAACUCCUGGUGUAGCGGUGGAAUGCGCAGAUAUCAGGAAGAACACCGAUGGCGAAGGCAGGUCUCUGGGCCGAUACUGACGCUGAGGAGCGAAAGCGUGGGGAGCGAAC